rnacentral:misc_RNA from 1 species
UAUGAAGAACGUAGCGAAAUGCGAUAAGUAAUGUGAAUUGCAGAAUUCAGUGAAUCAUCGAAUCUUUGAACGCACAUUGCGCCCGCCAGUAUUCUGGCGGGCAUGCCUGUUCGAGCGUCAUUUCAACCAUCAAGCCCCGGGCUUGUGUUGGGGACCUGCGGCUGCCGCAGGCCCUGAAAUGCAGUGGCGGGCUCGCUGUCACUCCGAGCGUAGUAGUUACAUCUCGCUCUGGGCGUGCUGCGGGUUCCGGCCGUUAAAAGCCUUAUUUACCCAAGGUUGACCUCGGAUCAGGUAGGAAGACCCGCUGAACUUAAGCAUAUCAAUAAGCGGAGGA